rnacentral:rRNA from 1 species
UCGCCUAUGGGGGGCAGCAGUGGGGAAUAUUGGGCAAUGGGCGCAAGCCUGACCCAGCAACGCCGCGUGAAGGAAGAAGGCUCUCGGGUUGUAAACUUCUUUUGUCAGGGACGAAGGAAGUGACGGUACCUGAUGAAUAAGCCACGGCUAACUACGUGCCAGCAGCCGCGGUAAUACGUAGGUGGCAAGCGUUAUCCGGAUUUACUGGGUGUAAAGGGCGUGUAGGCGGGACUGCAAGUCAGAUGUGAAAUUCCAGGGGUCAACCCUGGAACUGCAUUUGAAACUGUAGGUC